GUCAGCAUGGAUAGCUCAGUUGGAUAGAGCAUGGUGCUAAUAAUGCCAAGGCAAGGUUGCAGGUUCAAUCCCAGUAUGAGACA